CCUACGAGAGGCAGCAGUAGGGAAUAUUGCUCAAUGGGGGAAACCCUGAAGCAGCAACGCCGCGUGGAGGAUGAAGGUUUUAGGAUUGUAAACCCCCUUUGCGAGAGAAGAUAAUGACGGUAUCCCACGAAUAAGCAUCGGCUUACCCCGUGCCAGCAGCCGCGGUAAAUCGGAGGGUGCAAGCGUUACUCGGAAUCACUGGGCGUAAAGAGUGGGCAGGGGGGGGUGUAAGUCAGAUGGGAAAUCCUGUAGCUUAACUACAGAAUUGCAUUUGAAACUAUAAGUCUAGAGUGUAGGAGAGGUAGGUGGAAUUCUUGGUGUAGCGGUGAAAUGCGUAGAUAUCAGGAGGAAUACUCGUGGCGAAGGCGACCUACUGGGACAUUACUGACGCUCAUGCACGAAAGCGUGGGGAGCAAACAGGAUUAGAUACCCUGGUAGUC
rnacentral:rRNA from 1 species